UUGGUCGACUAUGUUCGGUUACAUUUGGCUAUUGUUGACAUAUUGAGCAUCACAUGUGAUGUGUGAAGAGACUGAAAAUACAAGUGACAGAACCUGCCAGCUCUGCAAAAUGUCAGGUAAACAACACUUUCCUGUGGAUAUCUCCACCUCCUACCACCAAAAGUACAAACAGCAUGUACAACUGGUAAAGUAAGUUUAAAUAUCAUUUUAUUCAACAUUCUGGCUUGUAGACUGAAAAUCCAUGGUACUGUAACAGUAUGAUGUUCAGGCAACAAAUAACUCAAAUUCGGUUGUUUUUAAAACAGCAUAUUUUCUUGCAUGAGUCUAUCUCAGUAUAUAAUUGUGUGCAUGUGUAUGUGUGUAUGUGUAACAUAGUUGUGUAUGAAUGUCAUCUUGUGUGUGUGUAUGUCAGCAUGUGUGUGUCUCAUGGCUCAUAACAUCUUGUGAGUGUGUCAGCUCAUAUCGGACAGCUGCUGUUUCAGCAGGCUCGAUUAGCAUUGCACCGGUGUGUGUGUGUGUGUGAAAAUUCUUGGGUCUCUAAUAUCGGGACAGACUGCUUCUCCGGAGGCACAGAAAGUAGAAAAAUUAGCCCCAGAAACCACCCUCUCAUUCCCAAGCGAUGCAUUAUACACAUGAUACUCAGCUUGUAGUAAUGAGCCUGAUCACGAGAUACACAGGCUGUGUCUCACGACUAGGGUUGCAAAGGGAGGUUGUGUAUUACUGGAAACCAGUAAACUACCAGAAUUUUGGUAACUUUCAAGAUUUAUUUGGAAUUUUAUAAAACGACAUCUAGUGGCCUUUUAGUGUACUUCAGAUUAUCACAGGUUUCUGUCAUUAUCUCUAGCGCUGUUUGGCCUUAUCAUGUGAAAUUCAUUCAAUUAUUAAAUAAGAUGAUUUUAAAAUAAAAAUAGAAUGCCAAAGCUGUAAAAUUACCAUUGGUGUUCAGUAUGAGGGUUAUCUGCAUGAAAUAUCCUUCAAAAAAACGUUUUGUCAAUGUUUUGCUUCAAACUGGUGAGAAAAAAAUACAUUUCAGUUCACUCCACCUCUCUAUCCAACUCUCUGCUCUCAGCUCCUUCUCUCUGACUGUUUCAUCAGGCAACAAAGACUUCCUACAGUAAGCCUGAACAACGCUACGCUCUGCACAGCUUCAACGCUUCAAAACACUACACAUACACACACACAUGGACCUGCACACGCACACGCACACACACACACGCACACGCACACGCACACGCGCACACGCACACACACACACGCACACACACACACACACAUGGACCUGCACACGCACACACACACACACACACACGCACACGCACACACACACAUGGACCUGCACACGCACACACACACACACACACACUUUCAAACACACACACAUUCAAACACACACACACACUCAAACACACACACACACACACACACACACGCACACACACACAUUCAAACACACACACACACACCACACACACACAUGCCACAACAAACAGACACACACAUACAUUCAUCCACACACACGUCUCACAUUCCCUACCGCCACAACCUAGCACCUUCAUGCCCUCCUCCCCUCCACACUCAUACAUACAGCACCAGUCAAAAGUUUGGACACACCUACUCAUCCCAAGGUUUUUAUUUAUUUGUACUAUUUUCUGCAUUGUAGAAUAAUAGUGAAGACAUCAAAAUUAUGAAAUAACAUAUAUGGAAUCAUGUAGUAACCGAAAAAGUGUUAAACAAAUCAAAAUAUAUUUUAUAUUUGCGAUUCUUCAAAGUAGCCACCCUUUACCUUGAUGACAUCUUUGCACACUCUUGGCAUUCUCUCAACCAGCUUCAUGAGGUAGGCACCUGCAAUGCAUUUCAAUUACAUUUUUUUCCAACUGCUUACACACAAAAUCUUUUCAUGUCACAAAACUACACACCAAAUAUCCAAAUCCAUGAGCUAUUUCUCAGCCUUUGACUCAGUUGUCAAUUGCAUAAAACACUUUUUUCAAAACACUACACACAAUUCUCUACCUAAAACACAAAAAUCUAACAGGAAGUGACUUGCUUUCCUUUUCCAAACACAACCAAUCAAAAUGCUACACUUAUUCACCAGGUCACACACACUCCUCACAUGUGCAAACACUAAUAGCUUAACUGAUCACUAACCAAUCACUGCUUUACUGUAGUAUAGGCCUAUGAAUAGGUCAAAGGUCAGAUGACCUGUUUUGAACAUUGGAUGCCAACAAUGGACAGAGAGCAAGAGGAGUAGGAGGGAGAGGAAGAGGAAGAAGAGGACGAGGGCAAAGAAGAGAAGGAAGGAGAGCCAUCUCUGAUGAGAUUAGGGCAACACUUGUUGAUCAUGUGAUCAACCACGGUUUGACCAUGAGAGAGGCUGGACUGAGAGUCCAGCCCAACUUGAGUCGAUUUACAGUGGCGUCCAUAAUUCGAACCUUCAGAAAUGAGAACAGAGUGGAAAGGCAAAGACAUAUUGGAUGACGAGGACGGUUGUUUACAGAUGUACAAGAAACUGUCAUUAUAAAUAUGGUUUUGGCCAGCAAUGCAAUUAGGAUUCGGGAGAUAAGAGAGCAUAUCUUGAAUAAUGACACCAUAUUUAACAACAUCAAUGUUGUAAGCCUGUCGACCAUACAAGCCUGUCGACCAUACAACGCAUCCUCCAACCGAGUGACGAUGAAACAACUUUACAAGGUGCCAUUUGAGAGAAACUCUGACAGAGUCAAGAAUAUGCGACAUGACUUUGUAGAGAGAGUAUUGGAGCUGGAUGCCCAUGUAAUUCGCCAUGAUUUUAUGUGGAUGAGGUUGGCUUCAACCUCACCAAAACCAGGCGCCAUGGAAGAAAUGUAAUAGGACAGAGGGCAAUUACCAAUGUCCCUGGACAGCGUGGGGGUAAUAUGUGCUGCCAUCACUCAAAACGGGGUCCUCCAUCACAAUGCCACACUGGGUCCGUACAAAACCGGCCAUAUGCUCAGGAGCCUGCUAGAUUUGUGGUUUUAUGGGACAAUGUUAGUUUUCACCAGGCUGUUCUGGUUCAAAACUGGUUUGCCACCCAUCCACAAUUUGUAGUUUUGUACCUACCCCCAUAUUCACCUUUUCUGAAUCCCAUAGAGGAAUUCUUCUCAGCUUGGCGCUGGAAAGUGUAUGAUCGCCAACCCUAUGCCCGCAUGCCGCUUCUCCAGGCAAUGGAGGACUAAUGUGGGGACAUAGAGGUUGCCUCUCUCCAAGGUUGGAUACGUCAUGCUAGGAGAUACUUCCCUCCAUGUUUGGCAAGAGAAAACGUAUCUUGUGAUAUGGGCAAAGUAUUGUGGCCAGACCCAGGUCGGAGAAGAGAUGAAGCGUGGCUUAGCACUGGUGACUGCCCCCCCCCCGCCCCCCCCGGGACCCCACACACACAAUUGUGUUUUUACUGUAUUCUAAAGAAUAUACUUUUGGUUUACAUAUGUUUAUGGUUUUGUUGUAUGCUACU